UGCAGUCGAGCGGCAGCGCGGGACUCGGGCAACCGAGCCCUGGCGGCGAGCGGCGAACGGGUGAGUAAUGCAUCGGAACGUGUCCCGUAAUGGGGGAUAACGCCGCGAAAGCGGCGCUAAUACCGCAUACGCUCUGAGGAGGAAAGUGGGGGACCUGCAAGGGCCUCACGUUAGGGGAGCGGCCGAUGUCCGAUUAUCUAGUUGGUGGGGUAAUGGCUUACCAAGGCUUCGAUCGGUAGCUGGUCUGAGAGGAUGAUCAUCCACACUGGGACUGAGACACGGCCCAGACUCCUACGGGAGGCAGCAGUGGGGAAUUUUGGACAAUGGGGGCAACCCUGAUCCAGCCAUGCCGCGUGCGGGAAGAAGGCCUUCGGGUUGUAAACCGCUUUUACCGGGAAGAAAAGGCCAUCCCUAACAGGGGUGGUUUUUGACGGUACCGGCGGAAUAAGCACCGGCUAACUACGUGCCACACCGCGGUAAUACUAGGUGCGAGCGUUAAUCAAUUACUGGGCGUAAAGCGUGCGCAGGCGGGUCGUUGUG
rnacentral:rRNA from 1 species